rnacentral:rRNA from 1 species
UACGUAGGGUGCAAGCGUUGUCCGGAAUUAUUGGGCGUAAAGAGCUCGUAGGCGGUUCGUCGCGUCGGCUGUGAAAACCCGGGGCUCAGCCCCGGGCCUGCAUUCGAUACGGGCAGACUAGAGUUCGGUAGGGGAGUCUGGAAUUCCUGGUGUAGCGGUGAAAUGCGCAGAUAUCAGGAGGAACACCGGUGGCGAAGGCGGGACUCUGGGCCGAUACUGACGCUGAGGAGCGAAAGCGUGGGGAGCAAACAGG